rnacentral:rRNA from 1 species
AUUCCCCCAGUAACUGCGAGUGAAGAGGGAAGAGCUCAUCAUUGGAAUCUGGCAGCGUUGCGCUGUCCGAGUUGUAGAUGAGAAGAGUAGGCCAUCUGGACUGCGUGGUGUCCAAGUACAAUAGGCCGUCAGUGGGACAUCAUAGAGGGUGACAAUCCCGUCCUUGACAUCAAUGUACGAGUCCAUUACGAUGCCUAUCUCAGAGAGUCGAGCAGUUUGGGAUUUGCUGCUUAAACAUGGGAGGUAGAUUCCUUCUAAAGCUAAAUACAGGCAAGAGACCGAUAGAGAACAAGUACCGCAAGGGAAAGAUGAAACAGAACUCUGUGAAGGGAGUCAAAAGGCGUGAAAUUGUUGCGAGAGAAGCGAUUCAGGUCAGCGUAGCUAGGCCCAUCAAGCCUCGCGCUUUGGACUAGCUUUGCCAGCGGUCUUGUCUCUUUCAGAGACUUGACUGACGUGCCCUGCCCGGUCUGACGGGCAGACCCUCCCUGGAGGGCCAGUGGCAUGGCUGGUGGAAUGGCCUGCAAUCGACCCGUCUUGAAACACGGACCAAGGAGUCUAACAUGUGUGCGAGUAUAAGGGUGGCAAACCCGUAUGCGCAAAGAAAGUGAUAGCCUUUGAUGGCUGAGAAUGGCCUGAUGACCAGACAAGAAAUAUAUCAUGUUCCUCGUACGGUCAUUGCCCAAGUCCCGUGGUCAGAUCCCAUGGACAUGGAGUUAGAGCAUACAUGCUAGGACCCGAAAGAUGGUGAACUAUGCCUGGACAAAGCGAAGCCAAAGGAAACUCUGGUGGAGGCUUGUAGCGAUUCUGACGUGCAAAUCGAUCGUCUGAUCUGGGUAUAGGGGCGAAAGACUAAUCGAACCAUCUCAUAGCUGGUUCCUGCCGAAGUUUCCCUCAGGAUAGCAGAGACCUUGUAGAAGUUGCAUGUGGUAAAGCGAAUGAUUAUUGACCCUGGGGCUCAAAUGGGCCUCAAUCUAUUCUCAAACUGUGAAUGCGUGCGGUUGGACUGUGCUUUGCGUAGAAGCCCUGCCAG